UGAUGACUCAAUUGAUGAACUAGUAGAAACUAUUUUCACUGUUUAUUCCUACUCUAGUCAGAGACUUUCAAAGUCACUUUCCUAUAAGAUCACAUCGGAUGUUCUCUCCUCUUACACAGAGUGAUCGAUUUCUUGUUGAUCACUCACAAUCUCUAUGCACACUUUGUCAAACCCAAAAUAUCCCACACACAUCUCAAAGUGGUGUGCUAGGGACUAAACUAAAGUAAGGAUCCAUAUACAUAAGGUACCAUGAUGAUCUCAGAUCAAAAGAUUACAUGCACCACUCUCACUGAAGAACCA
rnacentral:lncRNA from 1 species